AAGAACUAAUAAUCUGAACAAUCGAAUGAUAGGGUAACGCCUUGAAAGGUUGUCCAUAAUACUCCGAAUGGCGUUAAUAUGGUAAAAUACAAAGCGUCAUAAGCUCGGUGAAGUCGGCUGAGAGCAUACCCAAGUACUAGGAAUAUCCUAGAUAACGGAAAAGUGAACCAGAGGUGGUCAAGUAUGUGAUAGGUCGGUGGUCAAAAAU
rfam:Epulopiscium sp. SCG-B11WGA-EpuloA1 SCGB11WGA_51, whole genome shotgun sequence.